rnacentral:rRNA from 1 species
UAGGGAAUCUUCGGCAAUGGACGAAAGUCUGACCGAGCAACGCCGCGUGAGUGAAGAAGGUUUUCGGAUCGUAAAACUCUGUUGGUAGAGAAGAACGUUGGUGAGAGUGGAAAGCUCAUCAAGUGACGGUAACUACCCAGAAAGGGACGGCUAACUACGUGCCAGCAGCCGCGGUAAUACGUAGGUCCCGAGCGUUGUCCGGAUUUAUUGGGCGUAAAGCGAGCGCAGGUGGUUUAUUAAGUCUGGUGUAAAAGGCAGUGGCUCAACCAUUGUAUGCAUUGGAAACUGGUAGACUUGAGUGCAGGAGAGGAGAGUGGAAUUCCAUGUGUAGCGGUGAAAUGCGUAGAUAUAUGGAGGAACACCGUGGCGAAAGCGGCUCUCUGGCCUGUAACUGACACUGAGGCUCGAAAGCGUGGGGAGCAAACAGGAUUAGAUACCCUGGUAGU